CUUUUCUUGAAUUUAUAUGAAGUAUAACCUGCCCAAUGAAUAAUUUUUAAUGGCCGCGGUAUUUUGACCGUGCAAAGGUAGCAUAAUCAUUAGUCUUUUAAUUGUAGGCUGGAAUGAAUGGUUGGACGAGAUAAAAACUGUCUUUGGAUUAAUUUAUUUGAAUUUAAUUUUUAAGUUAAAAAGCUUAAAUUUUUUAUUGGGACGAGAAGACCCUAUAGAGUUUAAUAUUAUAUAUAAUAAUAGUUGUGUAUAAUUAUUUUUAAUUAUAUAUUUUAUUUGGUUGGGGUGAUUAUAGGAUAAAAAUAACUUUUUAUUACAUUUAUUAUAAAUUUAUAUUUUAAUGAUCCAUUAUUAUUGAUUAAAAGACUAAAUUACCUUAGGGAUAACAGCGUAAUCUUUUUUGAGAGUUCAAAUCGACAUUAAGGGUUGCGACCUCGAUGUUGGAUUAAGAAUAUAAUUAGGUGUAGAGGCUUAAAAUAAUAGGUCUGUUCGACCUUUAAAUUCUUACA
rnacentral:rRNA from 1 species